ACCCCUAUUACCUUAGUCCCUUAUGGGGCUUAUGGCUUUUCCUUUGUCUUAGGUGGUUGAGAGACAGAACAGUUUGACUUGAGCACUAACUUUCUCAUUCUUAGCAAGUUUCAUAUCAGAGGUUUUGUGAUAUUUUCAAAAGAAAGCUUAAAUGUUCCUCUUAUGGUUCUCUCAUGUCACUCAAAUGGUGUAUGAUUCCUCACCAAGGCAUAUGGUAAGAGUUGCCUUCUCUAUUUCAUCCUAUUUCUAAAAGGCUUAUGUGGAGUUCAAGGUAGGGAUGAAAGGAGAUAGCAUACUUACUUUGCAUGUAUUGCGAAGUCAAAGCUCGGAUCCUUGAAGAGAAGUGUCAUACUCCCAGAUCAAGAUGUGCAAGUGUGAUAUAUGGUGGAUUAGGUUGCUCCUUUAUUAGAUAGACUCUCUAUGUAUUGAGACAUGGCUAGCAUUUUUUUUUUAUAUAUGGGCUUUCAUGUGCUCAAUUUUCUUUUUCUGUGGACUUGCACAUGUCCAUCUUUUUAUUUAAUUUUGCCUAGCCUUUUGAUGUCUCAUUUACCAAAUAAUGCUUAGAGAGAUGUUCUAACAUUUAGAGUAUGGAGCAACCUAUUUAGUGGAUGCGAAAUACAUGUGGUUGCGUACUUCCAGUGUAGAAGCAGCAUAUAUAUAUGUGGUGUGUACGUGAUCUUGAUCUUAGGAGCAUGAAAAGUCUCUUAACAAGGGUCAACAAGACUUGACGACACUCAACACAAAGCAAAUAGCUUAUGUGGAAAGGUUGCAAUUAUGUAAAGUAGAUAUGGCUGUGGUAGGAAUUCAUCACCAUUGAGGAACAAUUAAGGUUUUGAUCAUUUUAAGAAUAAAUCUCUGAUAAUCAUGCAUGCUUAGAAAAAUAUUAUAGUAGCUCUUGUCUUACUAUCUCAUGUCCCACAACAAUUUAGACUUAGUUCUAGCACUUGCAACCCACAAAGUUUUUAGGUUCAUGGCAGUUUAAGUGAGCUAAGUGAUCCAUACUUAGAGAAAUACUAAGUUGUAUACUAGGCACUAGAGAAGCAUUAACAAGCAACUAGUCAUAAUUUCCAUGAGGG
rnacentral:lncRNA from 1 species